rnacentral:lncRNA from 1 species
UAUACUGGAAGACGGAUGGAGUGUAGGAUGUGUUUCUUUUCUUUUUAUAAGACUGGAAGAUGGAUGGAGUUCCAUUUUUAAUCACCAAGCUUUAGUUUUGUACAGGUGUUUAUAGGCUGAUUUCAGGAUUAAUUUCCUUUGGCGAUCGUCAUUUUACUUUCAUUUGAAAAUUUUGUUUUCUUCUCCCUCCAGAACACUUAUGUGAUCCUUUUCUUCUCAUAGCUUACAGAAAUAAUAAUA